CUGCCGUCAGCUAAGGGGGAAGGAGCCCUCCUAGAUUACAGCACCCCAGCUAUGGAAACAGCCACAGACUCCAAAGACUUCUAAUUAAUUCCCUUCACCAUGAGGUGGCACUGUUCCAGCCUUUAGCCAAACCAUGACCAAAAGUUCAGUGGCAGGACACUGCCUACCAGAUCCGACACCCAAGAUAUGCAGCAUCCUGGGUGACAUUUAGAAAAGAAGAAAAUGCACCACACCAC